rnacentral:tRNA from 1 species
GCCGGAGUGGUGGAAUUGGCAGACACGUCGGAUUCAAAAUCCGAUGGGGUUAACACCCCGUGCGGGUUCGAGUCCCGCCUCCGGUA